GAUGUGAGACGUGGGAUUAAUUUGAGCAGUGAAUCGUUUCAAGCAAUAAGGCAUUAUUGGUACUUUCCUGAUAUUUCCAGAGACGAAGCUAUUGAAAGAAUUAAAAACAAAGUGGUAGGAUCAUUUCUGAUACGGAAAUCGUCCAGUGAAGCAGGAGGGUUUGUUUUAGUCAUGAAUGAAAAUAAAACAGAUGACCUGUUCAACAGAGAACAUAAUACUGUUGUUAGAAAUUAUUUAAUUCAUUGGACAAACAGAGGGAUAACUUCGAUACAGGGCACAGAAACAUUUGACAACCUUGUUUCGUAUGUUUACCAUUAUGCUACGACUGAUACAACAGACUUGUCGUGUAGACUAGCCCUACCUUGAAGCAGAUUUUUAAGGUACGUGUAACAAUUAUUAUGCAUAUCAAAAUUUAAAACAUUUACCGUUCAUGCAUGUGGGUCAGUUGUCAGAUUCACAAUUCCAAAAACAAAUUCUACGAUUUUAAAUCCAAAAAUCAGCGUUAUACCAAACAAACAGUUAACACAUGUAAAAUUAUAGAUAUACAUGUACUUUUAACAACACGAGAACAUUAGACUACAUAAAAUAAAAUAGGAAUCACCAAACAACAAUAUAUCAGUACAACAGAUCAAACAAAACACCAAAUGUCAACGAAAAUCAUGUUUUACGGUUCAGAACUGAAGAGUUUAUUAUUAUUUCAAAACUAUAAUCAAUAAAAAAAAAUAGUUCGUGUCAUCUAACAUGUCUUAAGAACUCUUAUAGACGUAAGUGAAUACACUCUAAAGUUUUUAUUAUCUGUUAGACCGUAUCUCUUUUAUAAGGGAACGACCAUUUUACUUCCAGGGUUUUUCUCUGGUCAAGCAGAUGACAACAAAAUUGAAUGAAUAUAUUUUAUUGCAGAGGCAAACAUAAUGCUAUAGCAAAAUAACA